rnacentral:lncRNA from 1 species
CCCUCUCUCCACUCGGCUCUUGUGGUGCUCACAUCAUCGCCUUUGCUAAAUUGAAGCUUGCUUCUACAAUGCCUCUUGCUAACUCCAACUAAUAUGCACAAACACCUCCGCUGCCGCUAUUGUCACUAACACUAGUCUCCUCCUUAUUGUCCUCUAGUUGUUUCUCCCACCACCUGCAUCAUCCAACCAACCUCCCCUACAACCCCAGUGGGCGGCGCCUCUACGGUUGAGCCGUCUCGAUUGCCAUCAUAGCCAAUCUGGCGACCUCUGCGGGAGCCUCCUUCUAAGCCCACAACCAUGAUAUCCCACUAACCUCCUGAAGCCUCAAACCCUAACGCCAAUGAGGUCUUUAUCUCUGGCUAAUGUGAGUUUUUAUUGGUCCUUUAGUGCGUGUGUGGUGAUGCAUUUCCGCACCCCAUUUACAUAAAUAUUUUUGAUGAAGUGGAAUGGCCAUAGAUGAAAACAAGAGUGCUAGGGAUUUUUCACAUUUAAGAAAAAAAUGAGGCAAAGUCGUUUGUUUGCAAGUCCAACAAUUGAAUGCUAAUAGACUUAUGUAAUUUAGUUCCAAGUCCGGAGUCAACUUUUUUAUUUAAAAAAUUGCCCACCAAUAUCUAAAGGAAUAUAUAGAUUAACAAAUUAAGGUUGACACUAUUUUUUCUCGAAUACGCAUGACCAUUGCUUAUAAUUGUACUUAAAAAGAAAGAGUUUUUUAUUUAAGACUAACACUAUAUUAUAAUUAUUGUGAAAUAUAUUUUCAUAACAUAUUACUAUUUUAAUUUAAAAUAAUAGAUAUUAUGUCUUAUAGGAUACCACAUCGCUAAUCACAAUGGACUCAGAUCCAUCUAAGACGACAACACAACAGAAGUGACUCAAGCUCUGCAUUCUAACUAUGGGGUGCUAAGUUUUUUUCUUUAAAUACACAAGAGAUUUAUGUAUCUUUGUAAUUAAGACAUAAUGUUGUAAUUAUAGUAUUGAGGAGCGAACCCCCCUUGCUUAGGGGGCGAAAGAAGAAAGACAAUAACACAUAGGCCGCUCAAAGAAACAAAGUGUCUAUUUAGAUUUCCUCACCUAAAUUUUAAAGCUUUAAAAACUUUAUAACACUUUAGCUCACUUUUGAGGUCUAAUCUUUUAAUGUGCUGAGGUGGGCUAAAGUUUAGAGCUAACAUUAGACUAUUUGUUUGGAGACUGUAAACUUUAGAGCUCUAAUAUUUAGAGGAGGGGAUCAAAAUAGGUCCAAAUUUACAUGGGGUGCUAAGGUCGUUGCAGUUCGAGGAACAUGGAAGUUACGGUGCACUGCGACACCAUAGAUACACACGCGCUAGAAAAGUGAAAUGUUUCUAUGUACGUCUUCCAAACUGUGGGUACGGUCUCAUUGGCCUGGGAUUAAUUCAUGAUCCUUGAAUCACUGGGGCCACAUACUUUUCCAUGGCAUGGCAUAUAGUUAAGGAAAAGAGAGCAAAAGAUAAAAUUGGUAUCUUCGUGGAGACAUGGCUUGGGUUUGAGACUAGGAGACCAAGUACCAGCAUUGCACAACAAUUAACCUGACUCGAGGCUAAUAAGAAAACACUAAAAUGCUAUGCGUUGAGUGAGUCAUAUUAUGUAUCAUACUUACUCAACGCAUAUAUAUACUCUUUAACUUGCUUAACAACUUUUGAAAGAAGUGUAACAUGAAACAAUAUAUUGGGGCGCAGCAGCUUUAUUAUUGGACACUUAAAUCAAGAUUCCAACUGUGUGAGCUAAAAAAAAACAAUAUAACGUAUGAAAGUUCAAUAGAAUCAUUCGAUUUUUGGGUCAUCUUUUAGCUUGGAGAUACCAGUACUUUUAGUUGAUGGGGAUAUUGGGGGUUGACUAAAAACUUUCCAACUUCCACAUUGAAAUCAACUCCUGAUCCCAAAAGAUGCAAAACUUCAGCGUGUGGACCUCAAAUUUAUUUACUCAAAUUAUAAAUGCCUUUCAAAUAAAGAGGAUACGUCGUUUGGUCGUUAUUCCUUCAAGACAUAGAAAACAAGUUCAUGUAAUCCAAAGAUGUCACUUGCUUGUAAGUUAGUUAUUAUAGACAAUUGAAUCCGCAAUCUUUGUGCCCUCUCUUGGCCAUGUAUACGCAAGAGGAAAAACAAACCCUGUUGAUAAGUAGAACUAUCUCAGGAUGGCUGUGGAGAAAAAAAGGAAAAAAAAAAAGCAAACUGCUCAUAAGGGAAAGGGUUACAACUUUGGGUUUCAUAUGAAAAAAAAAAGAAAUUCUCAUACUGAUGUGUGUACGGUGUUAAGCUGUUAAGCGGCAUUUCCAAAAGUUUCAUAUAAUCGAUAUGAACCACACACAUUUAUUUGAUAUAUAAAGUCAAACUUUCUAUCUUUGAUUAUAAAUAUCUAAAUUCUAUACAGAUUGACAACACGCAACAAAGAUUCUUUAUAAAAAAAUACUUUCAUAAUAAUAGUCAAUGCAAAGUGUUAAAUUAGAGACCAUGUUGAUUGAGGUCCGAAUGUCCGAGGAAGUAAGCUAGCUUAAAUGGCUUUUAUAAAUAGUCAAUGCAAAGUGUUAGGUUUUUUAUUAUAUAAAUAUCUAACAUUCUAUAUAUAUAGCUUGACAACACGCAACAAUGGUGUUAUUAAAUUCUUUAUAAAAAAAUACUUUCGCUAUCUAGGAGUAAGCUAUAUCUCUUUGCAAGCCAUUAAUGUUUUCUAUAUAGAUAUUUAAUAGUCAAUGCAAAGUGUUAACUAGAGACCGUGUCGAAAUUCCCCAACUUUUUACUUUUGGCUUUUUUUUGAAAAAAAAUAUACAUUUGGCUCCAUGUAGAACUUAAACUCAUGUUUAGACCCAGUGGGUCGGCGCCAGGACUCGUGGCUCCGAGGUUACACGUCUCGACGCCACAGAUCUUGGCUCCAAGGUGUUCACUCGCGUACAGGUUGGCAUCAUAUGUGGCG